CGCGUAGGAACUUACCCAGUAGUUGGGGAUAGCCCGGAGAAAUCCGGAUUAAUACCGAAUAAUCUCUAAGGAGGAAAGUGGGCUUCGGCUCACGCUACUGGAUGGGCCUGCGUAAGAUUAGCUAGUUGGUGUGGUAAAGGCGCACCAAGGCGACGAUCUUUAGCUGGUCUGAGAGGAUGAUCAGCCACACUGGAACUGAGACACGGCCCAGACUCCUACGGGAGGCAGCAGUGGGGAAUAUUGGACAAUGGGCGAAAGCCUGAUCCAGCAAUACCGCGUGUGUGAAGAAGGGUUUCGGCU
rnacentral:rRNA from 1 species